rnacentral:lncRNA from 1 species
AAUAAGGACUUUACUAGAAAAAAAAAAAAAAAAAAAAAAAAAAAAAAAAAACAUAGUUAGAGGCAUCACAUUACCUGACUUCAAAUUAUGCUACAAAGCUAUAGUAGUCAAAACAGCAUGACAUUGGCAUGAAAACAGAAGUGUAGACCAAUGGAACAGAAUAGAGAACCCAGAAACACUUCCACAUUUUAUAGCCAGCUGCUAUUCAAUAAAGGUGCCAAAAACAUUGGGGAAAGGACA